UACAUAAUGUUAUGCCGUGUUAUCAUGGGAAAUGUCGAAUUGGUCAAUCCUGGAUCUGGACAGUGCCAUCCCAGUUCUAUACAAUAUGAUAGUGGAGUUGAUGACCUUCAAAAUCCACGCCAUCUAAUAGUUUGGAGUAUGAACAUGAACACCCAUAUUUUUCCAGAGUAUGUUGUCAGUUUCAAGACAUCUUCGAAAGCUGAAGGUGGUAUAUCUAUCCUCAUAUACUUGUUCCUUGUUUGAUUUUCUGGAGUGAUUCUUGCACUCACAGAUCUCCAUCUGCACGCCUUUUUUGUUUUUGCUCUUCAAUUGUUCUUAUUUCCAACCGUGCUCCUAGUCUCAGAAUGUUCUAUCACAAGUACCCAUCUAACAUUGCUGCCACGCUCAACUACAUGAAACUGAAUACGGUCAGUUAGAAAUGAAGGUGGGAUGAACACCUGAAAUCAAUAGGUGUUAAUAGCUAUAAUGACAAUCUGGAACUAUGUAGUGGUGCUCACUUGACAGUUGACAGUUGAUGAUCCCCAGCCAGUAAGUAUGAAUUUAGACCUAGGGUCUUUCUUCUAAUCAACCUAGAAUGAGUCUAUAGUUGCUCAGAUUAGGGAGUGGUCAUUGAUUUUUGGGUUAUUCGAACCUCUUUGAUCAAAUCACUGAGAGGAAAAAAAAAGAAAAGAAGGCGGCAUACUAUGGCAGUGUUAAGUUGGUUUCAUGUAAAGUUAAAACAUGUUAGAACACUGAAACUCAAAGAUUGACUGUUGAAAUAAGAAUAAUUGAAAGGUAGUGCAGAUGGAGAUGUGGGAAGUGUGAAAAUCACUCCUUUUAUUUCUGGAGCCAAAUUCAUUUUUGAAAAUAGUAAUUUGAAGAAAUAUGGACUUGAUUGCAUUUUUUUUUCAAUAUCCUAUUCAAGUAGCUUCUGAUAAUGCAGUCAGAAGGUUUGAAGCAGGCUGUGCAAUCUUUUUAUUUGGUCAUGCUAUCUCCAUACUUAUGAAAUAGGCUAUCCUUUCUCUUUGUACAUCUACGUAUGACUUGUCACUUGCUGGUCCAAAUCUCUGGUGGGUUUUUCACUUACUGGGGACCUCUUGGUUCAUGAAAACCUUUCUUUCGAUCAAUUUUGCUUAGAAAAUGCAAGUAUUGGACCACUAGAACUUUUUGUUGCUACUACAGGGACCAUGGUUACAGAAAGCAGAGGUCCUCUGUCUGGAAUUACAACUAGUGAUGAAUGUCGAGGCCAAUUGCAGUUCAACUGCUCCCCAAUGGAAUCAGUAAGUCCUCCAUUGCGUUGAAACUUAAGCUUAUUGUUUUCUAUUCCGCCUCAUAAUAUCAUCUUCAUCUUGUUUGCAAGAAUGUUAAACAUUGGCGUUAUUUGCAACUUUGCUUUAGUAAAUUGAUGCACAAAUAAUUUGUUGUGCCUAUCCAACAUUAAAGGACUUCUGAUGUUGGUAGUGUAGACGGCUGAAACUGCCUUAACUUCCAUUCAUGAAGCCAUAACUGUUCUGUGAUAUCUAGAAGGCAUCAAAUCCCAUAAUUAUUCUCCUUUAUUCUCUUUCUCUCUCUCUCUCNNNNNNNNNNNNNNNNNNNNCUUCUUCUCUUCUCUCUCUCUCUCUCUCUCUCUCUCUCUCUCUCUCUCUCUCUCUCUAUCUAUAUAUAUAUAUAUAUUCUGGCAAUUCUCUUUCUGGUGCGCCUUCAGACGAAACCUAAGAUCACCCAUCUUCUUGCCUUGGCUUCUCUUAAUAUUGAAGCAGAAUGUGAGGCUUACUUUGAAUCUUUCUUUAUAGACUUGAGCUAUGGCAAGAUGAUAGUUGUAUUAGGUUAUUUGGCAUUGGAUUCUACUAGUGUUAGCCAAAGGAUGUUUGCUUUGGAAUACUUUCGUGUCAGGUUCAAUGACAUGUAGAAUUUACUAGUGUUGAGUCAAAGUGUGGAAUUCUGUUGGUAUACUCUCAGUGUUUCAGUUCAUUUUUUUUGUAUAACUUAUUUAGCAAUUAUGCAUAAGGAUCUACAAGUUGUAUUCUUGAGGUUUUGCUCUCCUUUGUCACUUUUCUGAAUACUUUUUGAUACUUUCAAUGCUUUUUCUGUAGGGGAGGCGUUCUAGGCCAGCUUUAGAAUCCAAGGGAUCACAGGAAAAGCCUGUUGGAAUUGGCUCAAGCUCUUUGGCAGGUCCGAAAUCCCCAUGGAUGCCAUUUCCAGCAUUAUUUGAAGCUAUUUCAAAAGAAGUUGCUCCGAACGAUAUGAAAUUGGUUAAUGUUCACUAUGACCUAUUCAGGGUAUGUAAUUUUGGAUUCUUAGUAUUUAGAUCUUAGUGAAAAUUUCGUUUAUCAUGAUUCUUUCUCUUGUCGGUCACUUAUUAGAGCAAGAAGAUCAGCCGGGAAGAUUUUAUUCAGAAGUUAAGAGCAAUUGUUGGAGAUUCCUUGCUGAGGUCAACCAUAAUAAGCCUUCAGUGCAAGGUAAUGUCAUCUUUAAUGAUGUUAGAUACAUACUUGAUCAGUUCAUGUGGAGCAAUGUCAUGCGUUGUGUAUGUUUGUGGCUGGCCUGUGGAAAACAAGCUCUGACUUGCUUUCACAGUUAAUUUGGCACCCAUAUUUGGCUGGCUUCCCUUUGGUUGGUAUUUUUCAUGAUUUUUGCUUGUAGUUGUAUUCAAUGCUUGCCCUCAUCCCUUUGCCAGGGAGUCUUCUUCAUUCAGGAAGUUUUUUCUUGGAAUCUGUGAAUUCUUAGUUUCGUUACAUGUUUAUAAUUUAUUUAAAAUGAACAAAUUCAUAGCAACUCAUCUCUGAAAGGGAACAAUAUAGAGGUUGUCUGAUGAGUAAUUUAUAUAAAUGGAAUUUAUAUUUAUUAACUUAUGACUGUUCAUUUUGCACAGCUGCCACCAAUCUCUGCAAUCCCUAUGAAACCGCCAAAGCAGGGAGGAGAAUUUGAUGCCGCUUGAUUUGUUAAAUGGUGGUUGGAUCUCUGACUGUCGUUGGGGUCUGGCUGAUGUUUGGUAAGGUUGCUGCUCUCCUAAUGUGUCGACAUGAUGCAAACCAUAUUACCAUUUGACAGAUGGAUAUGGCUUUGUUGGAUUUUUGUCUAUUUAUGCUUUGUACUGAAACUCUGGUUUGAACUCUGGAGUGUAAAGCUGAAUUGGAUUGUAAACUGGUCACUGAUCAUUGUUAGUUCUAGUUUUCUAGCGAAUUUCGGGAAUUUUGAAAUUUCAAAUCUAGUAAAAUCCAUCUGUUUAAUGUCUGUUGGAAAAUGUCCUUUCCUUCUCAAUGAUUCUUACUGGAUCCCUUGGGAAAUUAUAUUGAAUAAUUAGUUAAAGUCUAGAGUGAUCUGAACUUAAGCCAAUAUACUGCCCUGAGAAUUCCUACAAAAAAGCAGCCUUGUAUGUGAGUGCUUAUUUGGCUGUAUGCCAAUCUGAAUUUGAACAUCAGAUUGUUGCCUGAAUUCAAUAUUUUCCUUAAUUUGACCUUUAUAGAUCGUUCGAAUAUGUUUAGUGGUAUGGGGUUAUUGGUGAAUGUGAUUGGUAGUAGGUACACAUGCUUUAGUGUAACUACUACGAUGCGCAGAUAUUGAUUUGGGGUGCAGUAUGAAUGAAACCAAUUACCUAUACAAAGCCAAAUCAUCCCUUGGUCCUAACUCCUGACCCAGAUUUGCAAAUCUUUUUGAACCAGGGAUGUGAGGAUUUGAACUCCAGCUUCGUUUACAUUUCAUUUUUUUUCGUGGUUAGUUUAUCUGUUUUAUUAGAUGAAAUUAAACAAGACAGUGCAUCUAUUUUUUUUUUUUUUUUUCUAGUAAGAUACGUCAAGUUUAUUGAUACAAAAACAUUAUCUUGAUAUUAGUCUCUAAAAAGGGAGGUGAGAAGAGAAAAACAUGGUUUAUUAUAGUGCAUAAAGCAUUUUUGCAGAAUGUUUCAUGUCAUGAUCAUUCAUUCUUCAUGAUCAUUAUGCUUGAAGUAUAAGUGGUGUAUUCCAUUAUUUCAGUUUCAUGCCCAGACUUCGAAAGUAUCAGAACCAUAUUGUUCAAAUGAUUCAAAUUAAUCGGGUUCUCGUUAAUAAACCAGAAUGAUCAGGUAGCGAGCCAAGCAUCCAAUAAGUCUGAACUCUGAAGCUGCUCGUCGAAAAAAAAAAACACAAGUCUGAAGCUUGACCGGUUCUCUAGAUUUGGCAUUUGAGAACACUGGCCACUGGGACUAAGAAUGAUCAGAUGUCAACCAUCGCACAUAGAAGACAUGCUCCAAAGUGUAAUUCAGUACAGUUUUGGAAAAGAGAAUUAGCACGUAUUGCUUGCAAACAAGGUGACAACUCACAAAUAUGCUUCGAUAAUAUAUGCAGUUGUAGCGAUACAGUUUAUGCCUACAUUUUAGAUGCAAAACUAGGGAACUCAUCAGAAAUAUUUUCAAUAAUGCAGCAGUGUCGUUAUUACUGUAAUGUUGAACUUUUCUCCCCUAACAUGGUCUAACCGUAAUUCGUUGAGGCAUUUGCACGAGCAGGACAUCCAUUUGCAAAACCCAUCAUCUAUGGUAAGUUGGUAACAUUUCUCAACACCAAGUUUUGGAGAUUAUUAUGAGAAACUAAGGUGGGUGCUCUAAGAAUUGUAUCUGUGUUGAUGAAUAGAGACCUCAAAUAUCCAGAAAAGUAGAUACAAGAUGGCAAUUCUAGCAUCACCCCUAUCUGAUAUGUGCAGUCUCAAUUGAAGCUCAAGCACUUCAACAUUACACCUUAAUGCAAUAUGGAUCCAGAGAGACCUGCAUAGAAGUUCCAAUCGAUACGAAAUCGCUGUAUCCUAUUAGCCCCAUGAAGAAUCAUGAACCUAUCUAUAGAAUUCAACAGUUUAAACGGAUCCUGCCUGUUUAUUGCGAUAUAGAAACCUCUGCAUCUUUUGGACACGCUGCCCACUUGAACGACUUGUCGAAAACUGAAGCCUGACAGUUUGUGAUGAGCCAAAUUGUUGGGUAGAUUACUAAAUCUAUCGACUACUCUUCCUACAGGCUCCUGGAGCUUGAGAACUUGCAGUUGCAAAUAACAUAGUCCGUGGUACCUGGUUUCUCUAUGUUCCUGUGGGAGAAAUUAACACCUACUAGUUUCAAAGGACAUGAGAUCAAAACUUGUAUAAAUACAUGGUGCCUAAGACCAUUUAAAUAUCUAAACUCUAUAUGCUCUAUUAUAUUUCACAUUUUAUGAGUCCAUAUUUAAGCACCUCUAAACAGGCACACAACAAGAAAACUGUAAUGAGAGGGAGGAAACUAUCAGUUGAAUCAAAUGCAAAUUGAGGAGCCAAAAAAGGACAAGAAAAUCGUAAAAUUAAUAUAAAUAAAGGGGACAUUAUGAAAAUGAAUGCAAAUUUAAGUACAGCUAACCCUUUACAGGUUUCCUGGUUGGUUAAUAGAACUACUCAAUUCCAAGAUAUCAACAAAAGUUUACACUGAAGCAGCUGCAAUUUAUCUCGACAAGAACCCAUAUUCUGAAAUUGCAAUCUCAAAUGCUUGAAUCCUUUCCCCGGUAGCAAAGCCAUUGCGAUCAUAAGACGAUAUUUCACCUAUGUUGAGAUCACUGCAGACUUGAAUCAACUUCUCGCCAACGCGUUUAGCAGCUUCAGCGGUACUACAAUUGGGAUCCUGACGGAUAGAUUUCUGCAGUGUGCUUCCAUAAAACAAACACUUGUUGUUCUGGUCAUCUACCAGCAUAGCAUACAAUUGUUUGUCUGAACAGAAGACCGAAAGCCUCGGCUUCGUGGGCGUGCCGUUGUACUUCUUCUGCAUUCUUCUGUUUCGAGUUUUUGCACUUUCAGUUCUGGCAGGCUGCCUCGCUCUCAUUACUACCGACUUCAUGGAGAAUUUUCUUAUAGUCUGCAAAACUUGAAAGUUGGAAGUUGCAGAACGACUCCCUAAAAGAGCAGAAGACAUAAACUGGAGAGCAGCAACGUUCACUAGAGCCAUACCUCCACCCUGCAAAUUGGGUAUCAUUGAAAACAAACGAAAAUCUGCGAAAAUUGCAAAGCAAGUUCAUUGAGACAUUUCAUCGAGCACCUUAUGGGUCCAGUUAUGAUGCAUUAAAACAUUCUUUGCAUAAAGCUCUACGAAAGUUGGACGCUUUGUCUGUGACCAGAAUGGUGGCAGCAGCUUACCAACAAGCACACAUCAAUCAUAAGCUUGUAGAUCACUUAUGAAUUCAGUUCAAUAAGCUAACACUUAAACGCAGUUUCACAAAGAAGAAAACUUGGGGACCAGACAAACCAACCCAAGUCCAUAUGCAAUGGAUGUAAACAAAGUGAUCAAAUUUCCAAAUUUGUUAGUUAUCUACUUUAGGGUAAUUGCUAGCAUCUAAUCUCUUUUAGGGUAGAGUGUUUGUCUAAAGAAAAAGCAUCCAUAAGUAAAUUUCAGGUUUUAUAUGCAAAAGGAGUAACACAUAGACAAGGAUAAGAUGCGGAAAGCAAGGUAUUUAAAACAGUAAUACUGAAACAAACGUGCUGCUCGUUUAUAAAGAACUCAUAGGAUCCACAAACAACCUAACAAGUAAAAACAAUCAAAACAUUCUUUUGCUCCUACCCACGUCACAGUCAUUUUAUGAUGCAAAACCACAAAAAGAAAGAAUCAAGCUUGCAGUAACUUCAAAUGUUCCAUUUCUGUUUCUUAGCUAGAUGAAAAAUCAAAGUCUACACAAAUUCCAAAACCUCUCAUUUUGAAACUCGCUGCUGAGUCAAGCUGAACAUGAGCCUACGCUUGAUGAUCCAACUUAAUGGAUUCACGUCUGUUCAAGGAAAACUCAAGGAACCCUGAAAAGCUGCACUUGAGCUGAGCAUGCAGGAAGAUACCAAAUUUGUGAAGCAGACAGAUGACAAUGCCAUAUGAGCUCUUUAAAACAGUUGGCCCAUGAUUCGAGCUCCAACUUUUGUACUGAAGAAAAGUGUCGGGAAUAUAUUUCAAAUCAUCAACUCUCUUAUUUUUCAUUAUAACUUGGCCUGAUUGCGCGGCAGUGUAGCAUCCAAAAGCCAAACUCUAAUUGUGAUGAUUGUAUAAAUCCCACUUGUAUGACAUGGCUAUACUUCUGGCAUAUAGAACUGAUAAUUUGAUGGAAGUCAUUUCUCACUACACCUUCCCAUUCCUCUAAAUGUUGUUCUACACAUGCAUUUGAAUAUGAAUGCCAACAAAAGAUAGCGAAGAUAGAUAACAAGAGUUCAGGGUCAACAUGAUUUGCAGCGUCAGUGCUGACCCUAGAGCUCACAGUAACCAAAAGAUUAGAUUCAGUUCAGAGGAAGUUGCCCACAAUGUCAGAACAUAUGAAGCUUCUUAAACCAAUGACAUUCCUGAUGGGUAUUAGGAACGAUAUAUUAGAGAUUAUCAGGUUCAUAUCAACUUUGAUAUAUCUCUAAUGAUCGAAGACCAACACUUAGUUAUUCAACCAAUAAAUCCAAGAACUCAAACUUAAGUUGCUUAGCCUUAAACAAUCAAUGGAUGAAGGAAUAAAAAUAAAAUAAAAUAAAUUUAAAUAGUCUCACAUGCAUUUCAUCAAACAGGUGGUGAGCAACAAUAUCAGUUUGUCAAAUGCAUUCUUACACAUAAUACUGUCAAGGACUGGGUCAUUGAUGGUUCAGAAUCACAAAACGUAAACAGAAACGAAGAAAAGCAAAAACCCAGAAAGCCCCAGAACUGAAAACACUACCUGGAAUCAAAAAAAGAUUGGCAAAAAAAUUUGGACCAUUUCUCGAUUUAUGCGUGUCAUCCUUGCGCAGGGGCCAUGCUAAUCUUCUCUGUAUCGUUCCAAUUUUAUCGGAUGUCCCCGAAGGGACGAGCUCUACUGUCAUGUCUUCCAAAAUAAACAGCCUUCUGUUUUCGCUUUUCUGCGAUGUGGGAUCAUAACAAAAGCACGUGGGCCUCACGUGUCGUCUCUCUCAAAGCGCAAUUGUAUGGGACUAUUGAAGGGGAUAGACAAGUAACCGUAACUUCACCAUGACCAAUGGCUUCUGAUGGAAAUCAUCCCCUUCUUUUUGUUCUUUCUGUUUGGAUUUAGGAAUCAAGAGCUUUAAAUCCCUGUCACAAAAGUUUGGUCUUAGCUGCUUGGAACUGAUCAUGAGUAAGAUUGUGUUUCGCUUCUGUAGCCUAAAACUUAACCAGUAUUGCUCUACAUAUUCAUAAGUUAGAAACAGAAUCAGACUCUGCUAGUCUUGUGUUCAAAUCUGCAACUCUUGAUCUUCACCUUCUUGGUACCCUCGUCUUGAAGUAUGGAGCAAUUUGAUACUUGCGGGUAUAAGCAUAUUCGUAACUCAUAAGGGAUGUACAUGCAUACAAGUAGCUGAAAUCCUUGCUAAGGAUUCAACACUCUUCGGGUGUCCGCACUUUCACUUCCCCUCCUGCCAAGGUAGUUGAAGCCUUGUUCUUUGGUGUAGCUAGACACAAAUAGCCGAGUAGUUGCCUUUCCUGUUCUUCUCUAUUUGAUGGGUAGGUGACUAGUUGCCUUCAUUCAAAAAAAAAAAAAAAAAAAGUUUCUUUUCUGGAUGAAAAAAUAGUGGCCGAGCGAGCUAUAGGUCUAGGCCGGAGCGAGCUUUAGGUAUGACCUUUCUCAAAAGAAUCUUUCCACAAGAUGAGGUUGACUAUUUUGCAGUCCGACUUGCUUCCAUUAGACCAGUCUUAUUAAACAAGAAUACAAUUUUUUUUUUAUAAUUCUUUUAGAUGAAUGCGAUAACUGAUAUUAAAUUAUAACUAAGAUGUAUAUAGAGUGAUUCAGAAAUAUCAUAACAAGAUACACAAAAUUAUCUAUAACAAGAAAAAACAAUAAAAGAAAACAAAACGCAUGAAUACAUCUAAAAUGAUAUAUAACCAUAGAACUGUACAUGGCCCUUCCAAUGAGGGAUCCCUAUUUUAAGCCAUUUAUAGGGAUAGGGCAUUACACCAACUUCCCGACUAUAAUUUUACAUCUCCACCGUUCAUAUCUUAGGUCUAUAUGAGUAGAUCAUCUCUACAAAAUUUCAUAUGAUUUGGUGAUCGUUAAGACUUUCAAAAGUUCAAUUUAGUUUUAAUGACCUUCAACGGUUUAGUUUGACNNNNNNNNNNNNNNNNNNNNACCUUCAACGGUUUUAGUUUGACAUAAGCUGGACCGUUCAAGAUCAUUAAAACUAAAUCAAACUUUUGAAAGCCUUAACGAUCACCAAAUCAUAUGAAAUUUUGUAGAGGUGAUCUACUCAUAUAGACCUAAGAUAUGAACGGUGGAGAUGUAAAAAUUCAAUUGGGAAGUGGUGUAAUGCCCUAUCCCUAGAAAGUGGCCAAAAAUAGGGAUCCCUCAAUGGAAGGGGGCUGUAGAACUGUAUGCCUAUUGAUGCAUUAUAUAUGUCAUGAAAGCUAGUGUAAGUGUAGGAAUAACUGUAACCAUGAUCGUUACCAGAACCAAGGAGAUACAACCAUUACGACAUUUUAUAACUACUUAGUAUUUAUAAUAAAUUUUCACAACACGUAACAUUUCACUGUCUUAUUAUAAAUAAUUCACAUGACAAACACCUGUUUUAUGUUUUAUUGACACCACUUUUAUUCCACAAUGACAUUUCUAUUUAUACUUUCACUGGUUUGUCCCCACGUCUCAAAAAUAUAAUUAAAUUUUUAUUUUGCAAUUUUUGAACACCGCCUUGUGCAACACACACCUUGGGCAACACACCAAUGCGAACCUUCCAUAAUACACUUUCACCCGCACGAUCAACUCAACGGCUCCGAUUCAGCGGUUUAUACAACUAAAAGAGAGACCCACCGCCUCCUACAAUACCCUAUGAGAAGAAUAUUGGAGAAAUCAGAAAUUGCUAAGUUGGUUCGGUAGGCUUAACUUUAGCCUCACGUUCUCAAAAGUCGAAACGUUUCUUCGCUGGCUUCAAAUCAAACUAGGUUUUCUGAGCCUCCUUUGAUUCUCAGUCUUUAGGGCUUUUGUUCAAUUUCACUGGAUCACUUCAGGUCCUUCCUUCUUUUUUCUGUAUGGACUUUUUUUUGUUGUUGAUUUUUUAGAUCCAUCUAAGGGCUCUGAUCUUGGUACUAGUUUGAUUAUUCUUUGACGUUUUGAAUUUGGAAUCACUGAUUGUUGUGUUGCAAUUAAUUAUCGUUCUGAAAUUGUAUUGCUGCAAUCAGAUUCGAAUUCAUUUUUUGUUUUUUUUGUUUUUGCUUUUAGUAUUUGACUUUGGUGAUUUUAAGGAUUCAGAAUGUAAAUCCAGUUCUAACAACUUGAUUUUAGACAAGUUAAUUAUUAUGUGAAUAAUUAUGGUUUCUGAUUUAACUGUUGAAUUUCAUGAUAGACUCGUAUAAUUGAAACUGAGAAAUUACUCUUCAUUUUAAUGGUUUUGGCUUCAGUCUGUAUGAUUUGUUAGAAUUCGUACUCAUGGUGCUGUCUUCUUUGCAGGUUUUAUAUUCAGAUUCACCGUAUUUGGGUAGUCAAACUCAUCUACAGAACUUUCAAGCUCACCUCACAAAAUUACUGAAUACAACUAGUGGUAGAAUAGAUGUGUGAGUGAUUUUAUAUUAUUUUAUAUUUUUUUAAAUUUACUUCAUAUCAGUGUAUUACAUAGAGAUUUUUCACUGAGGGUGUGUUUUGAUUGUUUCAGGAUCGAUACAGUUAAUUGGUAGGAGAAACAAAUAGAGGUAGUUUCUCUUGAUUGGUGUUUUUCUUCCUGCAUUUGAUAAUUUUUAAUUCUUAUCUUCUUUAGUGGGUUCUGUUUCAGUCAUUGCAAGAAGAAUUACCAUUUUCUGGUUACUCGCACAUAUACGUUGUUCAGAAACAUGACUUGUACGAUAUGUCCUGCUACUACAGAAUACGGUACGGUUUUGUGUGUUUCUUUUUCCUAUGGUUCUGUUGUUUAUAUUUGCUUCUUUCACUUAAGAAGGGGAAGUACUUCUAUAUUCUUGUGCCUGAUUUUGAACCGACACUCGAAGUUAGAAUAUUGAACUUCUGUGUUGUAAAAGAUGUUAUACAUAUAAAACGUGCAACUUAUCAUUAUAAAUUGCUUGGGUGUUAAAGGCAUCAUGUUUCACCUGUUUCUUUUAAUCAUUGGUGGUGGUCGGAAAUACCCAGCUUUUCUUUGCCUUUUUUAUGUAGUGAGGUCAAUAAAAGUUAUUAUCUUUGACCUGUAUUAUGGAACUGGACGUGUAGCAUGAAAAGAUAUAUGAUUAAGCUCACCAGUAAAUACUCUUACAUGCAGAUUUUACCUUCUGGUAAAUGAAUUAGAAUUAGUAUAAUGAGAGAUGCUAUAUCUUAAAUGCAGGCUAUGCAAAUUUGUCUCCAUGGAACAAUUUCUCCAUUCCCGGAACUGAAGAAAAGUAUUGUACAUUGUUUUUAGAGCAUUUAGGAUUUAGUCUGUAAAUAGGGCUUUUCCGUAUAGAUAAAUGGAAACAGACAGGGUUAAGGUCUUGGAUGAUGACCACCACAAAAUAGUUGUCAAUUUGAAGGGGAAAAGGGCAACAAAUAGUGCAGCACUUAUAGUCGGAGCUAGUCGCCCAGUGUUGUCUCGACAGUCCAGCUCACCUUCAUCGUUUAACAAACUUGGCAAGCGUAAGCGAUCUAAUGAAUGCAGAAACAAGUGUAGAUCAAACUUCAGAAGCUCCGUGCUAAAAAACUAUACAAAUUUCAGCAAAAGUGGGCUUCCUCAGCGAUUUCUAUACUAUGAAUCUGGGGACUGGAUAGACUUUCCUCAUGGAGUUGUUGACUUGGUCAGGGAGCACUUUCGACUGAAAAAUGCAGUUAUAAAUGUGGAUUGGAACGGCUGCCAUUUGUUGCUAGAUAUUCUGUUUAUGAUACAGGUGGAAAUUAAAACAGGUCUAGUAAAGCAAAUUGCUUGGAUUGAUGAAGCAGGUUCUUGUUUCUUUCCAGAAAUCCGUUCUUGUCAUUUAGAGAAAGAAAAGUACUGCCAUUCUAAGUUACAGAGUGAUUCACCUUAUGUGCUGAACGAAGCAAAUGGGACCCAGGAGAUCACUUUGAAGCUUGAGAUUGGACUAACUGGAUUGAAUAGCUCCAAUACAGAGGAAUGUGUUGAGGAGUCGAACAGUCCUGCUAAGAGGACUAAAAUUGAACAAAACCCUCUGGGUAAUCGAGACGAUAGGGAUGUAAAUGACUAUUGCAACCAAAUAUCACAUCCCAAAAUACAGGAAAUCCAUAAGGGAACUCGACAUUUUGAUGAAAACAUAAUCCCCAAGUCUCCAAUUUUGGCUGAAACACUGGACUCUAAGUCAGUACGAGACAUAUUUGAUAAGGGCAUUGGUUCCUCUGUGAGUGCAUGUAUAGUAGAGAUGAAGCAGUGCUCGAGUGAUUUGAUGCAAGCAAGAGCUGAGCUGUUCCAUAAGCAGGUUGAAAUAACAAAGAAGUACCGCGGUGAUCCUAAUGUUCAAUAUGGUUGGAUGGCUGUUACUAAAGAUGCCCUUCCUAACAUCAUGUUGUAUGGACUUGGGCAUGGCGGACCCAUGAUUAUGUCCUCAUAUGGCAUUGGAGUUCACUUGACAUCUGUUAAUUAUGGCCAUAUCAGGUUUGCACAUAUUUCCUGUCUAUCAAUUCAUUUAUCAUAUUAAGGAAUUUUAGUAGAAGUAAGAUGUUGGUAACAAAAUCAUCUAUGAUUUUUUCCUUUGUCCAUUCGAUGUAAAAGUAUUAGUACAGUACUUUGUGCCUCCUCCUCCCCCAAACAAAACUUAUUUCUUCCAAGAUCCAGAUUUUGGUGCUGUAGUGAAGCCUUUUAUGCUCUCUUUUUGAGGAUAUAUAUUCUUAUUUCUACUGUAAUUUGCUUUGUCAGAGGUUUUACUGCUUGUUUUCUUGACAGUGCAAGUAACUGUGAUGAUGACGAAAAUGGGGUGAGGUACAUAAUGUUAUGCCGUGUUAUCAUGGGAAAUGUCGAAUUGGUCAAUCCCGGAUCUGGACAGUGCCAUCCCAGUUCUAUACAAUAUGAUAGUGGAGUUGAUGACCUUCAAAAUCCACGCCAUCUUAUAGUUUGGAGUAUGAACAUGAACACCCAUAUUUUUCCGGAGUAUGUUGUCAGUUUCAAGACAUCUUUGAAUGCUGAAGGUUGUAUAUCUCUCCUCAUAUGCUAGUUCCUUGUUUGAUUUUCAGGUGUGCUUGCACACCCUGUCUCCUUUGAACGCCUUUUUUUUAACAAAUUUCUUUAUAUUUUUUUUAUGUGUUUUAUAUUUUAACUUUACUCUUCAUCUGAGAAUGUUUUAUCACAUGUACCCACCUAAAAUUGCCGCACCUCUCAAAUACUUGAAAUAGGAAUACAUUCUAUUUUCUGGAAAUAAAUGGUGGGAUUAACCCUCGAAUUCUAUUGGUGAUGGAGAAACUUGAUCAGCUGGCUCUGUGUUUAACUUAGGUCAUUUUUGGUACUUAUAGGUUUACAGAUAAUAAAAUAAUAGUAGAUGAAUUUCAUACCUCUUGGUUGGAAUAUGCUACUCCCGCAGCCAUAGGGGGUUAUAUCUGAAGAGCCCUAUCUGGAACUAUGUAGUGGUGUUCACUUGCUUGACAAUCGAUUCCCAACCAGUAAGAUCAUAAAUUUAGACCUAUGUAGUGGUCUUUCUUCUAAUCAACCUAGAUGAAUACUGUUGCUGGGAACAGGAAGUGGCCAUUGGGGUUUGGGUUUAGGGUUAUUCCAACCUUUUGUCUGAUCAAGUUUCUGAGAGAAAAGAGAACAAAUGCGUUAUGACUUAUGACUAUCCUUUUCUCUUCAUACAUCUACAUAUGCGUUAUGACUUACUGUUCCACAUCUCUGGUGUGUUUUUUUACUUUCUGGGAACCUUUUGCUUCAUGUAGACACUUUUCUUUAGAUCAUUUUUGCUUAGAAAAUAUAAGUAUUGGACCACUAGAACUUUUUGUUGCUACUACAGGGAC
rnacentral:lncRNA from 1 species